rnacentral:rRNA from 1 species
UACGGAGGGGGCUAGCGUUGUUCGGAAUUACUGGGCGUAAAGCGCACGUAGGCGGCUUUGUAAGUUAGAGGUGAAAGCCCAGGGCUUAACCCUGGAAUUGCCUUUAAGACUGCAUCGCUAGAAUCGUGGAGAGGUGAGUGGAAUUCCGAGUGUAGAGGUGAAAUGCGUAGAUAUCAGGAGGAACACCUGUGGCGAAAGCGGCUCACUGGACCACAACUGACGCUGAUGCACGAAAGCCUAGGGGAGCAAACAGG